rnacentral:lncRNA from 10 species
CAAGGCAGGUGCCCUGUAUGACAACAAGGUUAUGGCCCUCCCUGUCUUCAGAACAGGUAAAAGAAGGCUGUAAGCUCAGACAACAAGUAGCAAAAGAAACACUGACCACUCACAGGCUGGGUUGACUUCAUCCUUUCAUUGCAUUAACAUUGACGGGGGACAUGGUCAUUGUCAGGGCUAUGACUUUGCCUGGUGCUCCAUAUACAUUGUUAUCUCAUUCUGUUCUCAUAGCAAUUCUAUAAGGGAUUCAGAACCUGCGGAUGUGGAGGGCCAGAGGGCUGAAUUUGCAAGUUGGGCAAUGGGGAAAGCCUUCACAAAGGAGAAAGCCUUUGGGCUGGAAUUGGAGGAGUAGGAGUCAAUAGAGAGAGAAGAGAGUAAAGGGCAAGGCCAUCAUUCCAGGUUUAGGGAGCAAGUACAAAGACACAGAGAAAUGAAAAGGCUUGGCCUGUUUGGAGAAUGUCAAGCUGUCUGGGGUUGAGAGAAAGACAUUCUAACAAGGCUUCCAUUAAAGAGGCUAGAUUUGCUGCUUGGACAUUUUCUAGCUCUUCUGAGACAACUUUUUGUUGAGUUAAGCGAAAAUGAAUGAAAAUCAGAUGGACCAUAUUUCUCUUGAAUGCACACGGGCUUAAAAACGAAGGGGAAAAAGAACUUGACAGAAUGUGUCUUGGCUUUUGCCAAACCCAAAGUAUUUGAAAAAUCACACAGUACACAUCUCGAACCCAAAAACAUGCCUGGAUUCUACCACCCCUAACUGCAGCUGC